CUUCGGUGUAAAGUACUUCAGCGGGAGGAAGGCGAUGCGGUUAUAACCGGUCGAUUGACGUUACCGCAGAAGAAGCACCGGCUAAUUCCGUGCCAGCAGCCGGGGUAAUACGGAGGGUGCAAGCGUUAAUCGGAAUUACUGGGCGUAAAGCGCACGCAGGCGUUCUGUUAAGUCAGAUGUGAAAUCCCCGGGCUCAACCCGGGAACUGCAUUUGAAACUGGCAGGCUUGAGUCUCGUAGAGGGGGGUGGAAUUCCAGGUGUAGUGGUGAAAUGCGUAGAGAUCUGGAGGAAUACCGGUGGCGAAGGCGGCCCCCUGGACGAAGACUGACGCUCAGGUGCGAAAGCGUGGGGAGCAAACAGGAUUAGAUACCCUGGUAGUCCACGCCGUAAACGAUGUCGAUUUGGAGGCUGUGCCCUUGAGGUGUGGCUUCCGUAGCUAACGCGUUAAAUCGACCGCCUGGGGAGUACGGCCGCAAGGUUAAAACUCAAAUGAAUUGACGGGGGCCCGCACAAGCGGUGGAGCAUGUGGUUUAAUUCGAUGCAACGCGAAGAACCUUACCUGGUCUUGACAUCCACGGAAGACUGCAGAGAUGUGGUUGUGCCUUCGGGAGCCGUGAGACAGGUGCUGCAUGGCUGUCGUCAGCUCGUGUUGUGAAAUGUUGGGUUAAGUCCCGCAACGAGCGCAACCCUUAUCCUUUGUUGCCAGCGGUUCGGCCGGGAACUCAAAGGAGACUGCCGGUGAUAAACCGGAGGAAGGUGGGGAUGACGUCAAGUCAUCAUGGCCCUUACGACCAGGGCUACACACGUGCUACAAUGGCGCAUACAAAGAGAAGCGACCUCGCGAGAGCAAGCGGACCUCAUAAAGUGCGUCGUAGUCCGGAUCGGAGUCUGCAACCCGACUCCGUGAAGUCGGAAUCGCUAGUAAUCGUGGAUCAGAAUGCCACGGUGAAUACGUUCCCGGGCCUUGUACACACCGCCC
rnacentral:rRNA from 1 species